ensembl:lncRNA
AGACACUGGGCUGGUUUUACUGGUCUCCCCACACUGUACAGAAAGCCAGGCCUCUCCUUGCACAGCUGGUUUCCUUGGUGGUGUGAGUCACUUCUGUUAUGUUGCUCCGUUCAUCCAUAUUAUGUAGGUUUUUACUAGCUGCCUUCUCAGAGUAUGUCCUGGCCUCCCAUAACAGAGAUAGGAAGCUUUUCCAGAAUAGAAAGGCUGUGCUUCUGAUAUGUUGUGUCUGCAAAGGGUCAGCCUCUCUGCUUGCCUCCAGAGUAGCACUUGGGAGAUAUUUAUUAGCCUGUGCCAUGUCCUUUCUCCAGGAUCCCAGGCUGGAGACAGUUUCUUCACCCAUCCUCCUUCCUCAAUCUUCUCAGCUGGUUCCCUUUGGCCUGACUCAGAGACUGACCUCGAGUGACCUCACUCAUCUUGUCCACAGGGACCCCGGAUGUUCUUAGAGCCACAGACUCUUAGGGCUGGAAGGAAGUUUGAAUCCAACUUCUCUGUGUUGUAGAGGAGCAAGCUGAGGUGCGGAGAGGAGAGGUGAGCUGCCUGUGGUCUUUUGGCUACUUAGCAGCAGUGUUAGGACUGAACUGAGGUCUCUCCCUCCAGCCAGAUGCUGUUGAUUCUGUGACUGUGGCUCUCAGAGGGUGUUCUCACAUGAAACUGGGGCUCAGGCAGAUGGACUGAAGCUCUCUCCUGCCAAAUCAAAUAUCGGAGGUCUUUCCCCAGUCUACAGAAAAAAUAGAUUAAGGGAUUAAGUUUCAACUUUCUUUUCCCUUUAUUCUUUUUAAACCAUUGUCACCUGCUACCAACUGUCCACGAGCCAAUGAGAUUUUCUAUUGCAUUCAUGUAAUUAAAGC